rnacentral:rRNA from 2 species
GGUUAAGCGACUAAGCGUACACGGUGGAUGCCCUGGCAGUCAGAGGCGAUGAAGGACGUGCUAAUCUGCGAAAAGCGUCGGUAAGGUGAUAUGAACCGUUAUAACCGGCGAUGUCCGAAUGGGGAAACCCAGUGCAAUUCGUUGCACUAUCGUUAACUGAAUACAUAGGUUAACGAGGCGAACCGGGGGAACUGAAACAUCUAAGUACCCCGAGGAAAAGAAAUCAACCGAGAUUCCCCCAGUAGCGGCGAGCGAACGGGGAGCAGCCCAGAGUCUGAAUCAGCUUGUGUGUUAGUGGAACGGUCUGGAAAGUCCGACGGUACAGGGUGAUAGUCCCGUACACCAAAAUGCACAGGCUGUGAACUCGAAGAGUAGGGCGGGACACGUGGUAUCCUGUCUGAAUAUGGGGGGACCAUCCUCCAAGGCUAAAUACUCCUGACUGACCGAUAGUGAACCAGUACCGUGAGGGAAAGGCGAAAAGAACCCCGGCGAGGGGAGUGAAAAAGAACCUGAAACCGUGUACGUACAAGCAGUGGGAGCACCUUCGGGUGUGACUGCGUACCUUUUGUAUAAUGGGUCAGCGACUUAUAUUCUGUAGCAAGGUUAACCGUAUAGGGGAGCCGCAGGGAAACCGAGUCUUAACUGGGCGUUAAGUUGCAGGGUAUAGACCCGAAACCCGGUGAUCUAGCCAUGGGCAGGUUGAAGGUUGGGUAACACUAACUGGAGGACCGAACCGACUAAUGUUGAAAAAUUAGCGGAUGACUUGUGGCUGGGGGUGAAAGGCCAAUCAAACCGGGAGAUAGCUGGUUCUCCCCGAAAGCUAUUUAGGUAGCGCCUCGUGAAUUCAUCUUCGGGGGUAGAGCACUGUUUCGGCUAGGGGGUCAUCCCGACUUACCAACCCGAUGCAAACUACGAAUACCGAAGAAUGUUAUCACGGGAGACACACGGCGGGUGCUAACGUCCGUCGUGAAGAGGGAAACAACCCAGACCGCCAGCUAAGGUCCCAAAGUCAUGGUUAAGUGGGAAACGAUGUGGGAAGGCACAGACAGCCAGGAUGUUGGCUUAGAAGCAGCCAUCAUUUAAAGAAAGCGUAAUAGCUCACUGGUCGAGUCGGCCUGCGCGGAAGAUGUAACGGGGCUAAACCAUGCACCGAAGCUGCGGCAGCGACACUAUGUGUUGUUGGGUAGGGGAGCGUUCUGUAAGCCUGCGAAGGUGUGCUGUGAGGCAUGCUGGAGGUAUCAGAAGUGCGAAUGCUGACAUAAGUAACGAUAAAGCGGGUGAAAAGCCCGCUCGCCGGAAGACCAAGGGUUCCUGUCCAACGUUAAUCGGGGCAGGGUGAGUCGACCCCUAAGGCGAGGCCGAAAGGCGUAGUCGAUGGGAAACAGGUUAAUAUUCCUGUACUUGGUGUUACUGCGAAGGGGGGACGGAGAAGGCUAUGUUAGCCGGGCGACGGUUGUCCCGGUUUAAGCAUGUAGGCUGGUUGUCCAGGCAAAUCCGGAUAAUCAAGGCUGAGGUGUGAUGACGAGGCACUACGGUGCUGAAGUAACAAAUGCCCUGCUUCCAGGAAAAGCCUCUAAGCAUCAGGUAACAUCAAAUCGUACCCCAAACCGACACAGGUGGUCAGGUAGAGAAUACCAAGGCGCUUGAGAGAACUCGGGUGAAGGAACUAGGCAAAAUGGUGCCGUAACUUCGGGAGAAGGCACGCUGGUGUGUAGGUGAAGUCCCUGCGGAUGGAGCUGAGACCAGUCGAAGAUACCAGCUGGCUGCAACUGUUUAUUAAAAACACAGCACUGUGCAAACACGAAAGUGGACGUAUACGGUGUGACGCCUGCCCGGUGCCGGAAGGUUAAUUGAUGGGGUUAUCCGUAAGGAGAAGCUCUUGAUCGAAGCCCCGGUAAACGGCGGCCGUAACUAUAACGGUCCUAAGGUAGCGAAAUUCCUUGUCGGGUAAGUUCCGACCUGCACGAAUGGCGUAAUGAUGGCCAGGCUGUCUCCACCCGAGACUCAGUGAAAUUGAACUCGCUGUGAAGAUGCAGUGUACCCGCGGCAAGACGGAAAGACCCCGUGAACCUUUACUAUAGCUUGACACUGAACAUUGAGCCUUGAUGUGUAGGAUAGGUGGGAGGCUUUGAAGCGUGGACGCCAGUCUGCGUGGAGCCAACCUUGAAAUACCACCCUUUAAUGUUUGAUGUUCUAACGUUGGCCCCUUACCGGGGUUGCGGACAGUGUCUGGUGGGUAGUUUGACUGGGGCGGUCUCCUCCCAAAGCGUAACGGAGGAGCACGAAGGUUAGCUAAUCCUGGUCGGACAUCAGGAGGUUAGUGCAAUGGCAUAAGCUAGCUUGACUGCGAGCGUGACGGCGCGAGCAGGUGCGAAAGCAGGUCAUAGUGAUCCGGUGGUUCUGAAUGGAAGGGCCAUCGCUCAACGGAUAAAAGGUACUCCGGGGAUAACAGGCUGAUACCGCCCAAGAGUUCAUAUCGACGGCGGUGUUUGGCACCUCGAUGUCGGCUCAUCACAUCCUGGGGCUGAAGUAGGUCCCAAGGGUAUGGCUGUUCGCCAUUUAAAGUGGUACGCGAGCUGGGUUUAGAACGUCGUGAGACAGUUCGGUCCCUAUCUGCCGUGGGCGCUGGAGAAUUGAGGGGGGCUGCUCCUAGUACGAGAGGACCGGAGUGGACGCAUCACUGGUGUUCGGGUUGUCAUGCCAAUGGCACUGCCCGGUAGCUAAAUGCGGAAGAGAUAAGUGCUGAAAGCAUCUAAGCACGAAACUUGCCCCGAGAUGAGUUCUCCCUGAGACUUUAAGUCUCCUGAAGGAACGUUGAAGACGACGACGUUGAUAGGCCGGGUGUGUAAGCGCAGCGAUGCGUUGAGCUAACCGGUACUAAUGAACCGUGAGGCUUAACCUU